GGAAGACGGUGUGAUUAUUAGGAUUUGGCCUAAAGAAUAGAUUGAAGCAGAAGACACACUUCAAAAGAAUGUGUUCCCAGUCUCAAGACCUCUCCGGGGAGUCUCACAAGUGUCAAAUUCAUCCUGUGAUCCCUGCUGAGAUAUGGCCAAAUGUAAAGGCCAGGACCAGCUGGGUGUUUACAUGGAUAUAAAUAACACCACAAACCCGGUCAAUUAACCUCUUUGCUGCUUGGUUUAAGUGAGGUCCACAACCUGCCUACUGAAGAGAAAGAAACUCCCUCAAUCCUGCCCAGAGGUUAAAGGAAACUGGUUUGAGAGGAAUUUAAUUUGCUGUUCUGGGUUCACAACUCCAGCCCUAAUCCUGAUCAGCGCAGCAAGAAGGGCUACCAUAAUCUUGAAGGGUCCAUAUGAGAGACUGUGGGAGUGGAGUGUGGAUUGAGCCACUCAGCUCUCCCAAGCAGGGGAUGUCCUCUUGGUUAUUCGCGGACCUGCAUCAGCACUUCCUGGCACCUGGCAGGCAGCAGUACAGAGCUGGUGAAGGAGGAAUGAAGGAGGAAGCCGUGUUGCCCUGAUGAUGGUUCGGGGGUGCCAGUCUACACCACAAGGACCAGAUUCUCCCUAGAAAAGAGUGCAGAGCCGUGCUUGUUUGCCGUCAUUCAUCCAGCAGAGGUCUCUCUUGCCCACCAUAUGCUUGUGUGUGUGUAUUCAGUACCAGGGGCGGGACUAUGAGGCUGCAGAAUGAAGAAAUACGGACAAAGACUUCAGGCCUGAGGGACUAAGGAGAGAAGAAUCUGUGGCUUCGGAGCAGGGCCUUCUCCUGAAGCCACAGGACAGACCAAGGAGGAAUCAUGCUGCCCCAUGGCCAACUUCUGAUAUAACACCAAAGAAGGCAGGUGUGGGUUUUCCAUACUGAGGAAGGCAAUCUGGUGAAGAUGAAGCUGCAUCAAAAAAGACACAUUAAAAAUAAGACCCUCAUACACUGUUGGUGGGAAUGUUAACUAGUACAAUCACUACAGAGAAUGGUUUAGAAGUUCCUCAAAAAACUAAAAAUAGAGCUACCAUCUGGUCCAGCAAUCCCACUGCUGGGUAUGUACCGAAAAGAAAGAAAAUCAGUAUAACAAUUCUGCAUGAUCUGCACAUGUACCCCAGAACUUAAAAUAUAAUUAAAAAAAAAAAGAAAGGAAAUCAGUAUAUCAAAGAGAUAUCUGCACUCCCAGGUUGUUGCAGACCAUUCACAAUAGCCAAGAUUUGAAGGCAAACUAUGUGUCCAUCAACAGAUGAAAGGAUAAAGAAAACAUGGCAUAUAUACUCAAUGGAGUACUAUUCAACCAUAAGAAAGAAUGGGAUCCUAUCAUUUGCAACAACAUGAAUGGAACUGGAGAUCAUUAUGUUAAGUGAAAUAUGCCAGGCACAGAGAGACAAACUUCCUAUGAUCUCUCUUAUUUGUGGGAGCUAAAGAUCAAAACAAUUGAACUCAUGGAGAUAGAGAGUAGGAGGAUGGUGACCAGAGGCUGGGAAGGGUAGCGGAAGGUAAGUGGGAUGGUUAAUGGGUAAAAAAAAUAAUUAGAAAGAUUGAAUAAGACCUAGUACUUGAUAGCACAACAGGGUGACUAUAGUCAGUCACAAUUUAAUGUACAUUUAAAAAUCACUAAAAGAGUCUAACUGGAUUGUUUAUAACACAAAGGAUAAAUGCUUGAGGGGAUGGAUACCCAUUUUCCAUGACGUGAUUAUUAUGCAUUGCAUGCCUGUAUCAAAGUAUCUCAUGUAACCCAUAAAUGUAUACAUCUAUUAUGUAUGCACAAAAAUAGAUAUACCUAUUAUGCACUCACAAUAAUUUAAAAAAUAAAACAACCCUUUUUGACUACUCUAAACCUCUCAGCGGCUGAACACUGAUAUUUAAAUUAAAUAUUUAAAAGAUCCACUUUCACUCUGCUUCCUUUCUAUCUUUUAAAAAAUAUAUUAGCCUUUUUAAAAUGAUUUUAUUUUUUGGAGAAGUUUUAGGUUUACAGCAAAACUGAGCAGAAAGUAUAGAGAGUUCCCAUAUACCUUCUGCCCCACAUGCAUACAGACUCUCUCACUAUCAACAUCCCCACCAGAGUGGUACAUUUGUUACAACUGAUGAACGCACACUGGUACCCGAGGUCCGUAGUUCACCUUAGGUUUCUCUCUCAGUGUCCAUACAUUCUAUGGGUUUGGACAAAUUGUAUAAUGACAUGUCUCUACCAUUGCAGUAUCAUACAGAGUAGUUUCACUGCCCUAAAAAUCCUGGGUUGUCCACCUAUCCAUUCCCUCUUCCCCCUAACCUUUGUCAACCACUGAUCUUUUUACUGUCUCCAUAGUUUUGCCUUUUCCAGAAUGUCAUACGGCUGGAAUUAUACAGCAUGUAGCCUAUUCAGAUUGGUUUCUUUCACUCAGUAAAAUGCAUUUAAGUUUCCUGUGCAUCUUUUCAUGGCUUAAUAGCUCAUUUCUUUUUAUUCCUAGAUAAUUUUCCAUUGUCUGAAUGUACUAUGGUUUAUUUAUCUAUUCACCUACUGAAGGGCAUCUUCAUUGUUCCAAGUUCUGGCAAUUAUGAAUAAAGUUGCUAUCAACAUUCAUGUGCAGAUUGAUUGA